rnacentral:rRNA from 1 species
AUGUCUGGGCGCGGCAAGGGCGCUAAGGGGCUGGGCAAGGGCGGCGCCAAGCGCCACCGGAAGAUCCUCCGCGACAACAUCGGCAUCACCAAGCCGGCGAUCCGGAGGCUGGCGAGGAGGGGCGGCGUGAAGCGCAUCGCCGGCCUCGUCUACGGGGAGACCCGCGGUGUCCUCCAUAUCUUCCUCGAGGAAGUCAUCCGCGACGUCGUCGCCUACACCCAGCACGCCCGCCGCAAGACCGUCACCGCCAUGGACGUCGUCUUCGCGCUCAAGCGCCACGGCCGAACCCUCUACGGCUUCGGAGUCUAG